UGUUCUAGUACUCGACAUUCACUAUUGAAAGUUUUGAAGAGCUAAAGUUGAUGGCUUGUUGCGAAACCAUACCCGUCUCUCGAUGCUAUCAAUUAGACGCUGCCCAAAGCUCGAGUCUGUAUCGGGGGAGCUUGGAAACCUUGCUUCUCUAGAGUCCCUCACAAUUUCUUACUGCCUUGAGCUGCUAUUAUUGCCAAUGGAAUUGCAAAACCUCGCCUCUCUCCGUUCUCUGUGGAUUGAGGUGUGCAAUGGUCUCACGUCCUUGAGACUGCAAGGCUUGAGCUCUCUUCAACAUCUUACCAUUUUUGAUUGUCGAAGCCUAACGAGCUUGAUUGGAGGGCUGCAGCACCUCACUGCCUUUCAAGCCUUGUCGAUUAAGAUAUGUCCGGAGCUGGCUUCUUUAGCAGACGGUAUGCAACAACUCGUGUCAAUUCGACAACUUCGAAUGUGGGACUGUGAUAAGUUGACAUCCUUGCCGGAAGUGCUAAGACUCGCCACAACACUGCAAGAGCUACAAAUCCGCAAUUGGCCAAGUCUAACGGCUCUGCCAGAGUGGAUAGGAAACCUGCCCUUGCUUCAACGUUUGGAGAUUAGCUAUUGUCAUAAAUUGGCAUGUUUGCCAUCCAGAUUGCAACUUCUAACGAAUCUCCAACAUCAACAAAUCCAAGGUUGUCCCCAUUUAGAGAAGUGAUGCAAGAAGGAGAAAUGUGGGGAUUCGCACAAGAUAGCACACGUCCCACAUACCGAGAUUGGAUGGCCAUUCCUGAGAGGAGGUGAAGGGCGUGGACGUCUCUUGGAGUUGUAGACAAGAUGCAUCAAUACUCUCCUUCCUACCUCUUCCUCCCAUUAACAUUUAAACGCGAUCAUUUCAUCGAUGAAUGGGAGUGGGACUUGUGGAAAUGAGAUGGAGAAGGGGCCUAGCAGCACACAUGCCAACGUGCUACACUUGUGGAGGCUGAACAAGGCGGUUGGUCAUUGAACUGAAAAUCAGGCCAGUCUGCUUAUCAGGGUUAGAGUCAUGCUUAAGGAUGGAUGAGACAACGUUAAAUUUGCCUUUUUAGGCUGGUGGGGAAAGGAUCCUCAAACCGAACAGAGCUGUUGGCUAUUGAAAGCAGUGUGGAGAUUUUGUGAAUUGGUAGCGGCAAAGAGACUCUAUAAUGCUAUCGCUUGUACCUUUAGGAAGUGCAUUCCCGCUUUGGAGCCAAGAUCUAUUUUGAAUGAAAUGAGGUUGUGUUCUUGCUUCUUGGAAAUCUCAUGUGUAGAGUCCUAGUAUUUCUUUUAAUUGUAUUGCUGACUCUAUUGCAAAGGAAAAAGUUGAGGUUUGCUAAAUUUACAUGGCAGCCCUGCCAUCCACAUGCAGCCACAUGUCCCAUUGUUAGAACUGCUCUAAAAAUCAGGCUGCCAACAUACAAGACGAAUGGAUGGGUAGAAAAAUUUGUUUGAAUGGGCAGUUUACUGUAAACAUUGUGACCCACUUGAGGAGUGAAACUGCCUAUUUUUGAAGCACAGAUCAUCUAAGGGUGUCUUAGAAGUUUCCCAACUUCUAUUUAGAAUUUCUUUUUCUUUUUCUUUUUUUUUUUUUCAAUUCCAGUUCAGACGAAUUGUUGAAAAGAAUAGAACCUGUCUUACUUGUCCUCCCAAAUUGUGAAAUGGCCGUGUUUUGUGAUCUGAUUCAGUUGAAUUCAUCGUCUUGUUUUUUUCAUACUUCUUGUGUCUUGUGAGCUUGUGACCUGAUUCAAUUGAAUUCAUGGUCUUGUUUUUUCAUUCUUUUAGGAAAGAAUGAUUGUUUAAAAUAACAGUCAUUUGGGAUUUUUUUUUUGUAGGCAGUUGGAUUUUCAUACUCCUAGAAUUGUGAUUUGUGAUUUUUGUUUUUGCAUACCUAGUCUGGUAGAAUUUAUUGCCUUUGUUGUCGUUGUUUUUGCAUUUAUGAUAAAGCCCAUAUCAAUCUUAUUAUGUUCUCAGUAAAGACAAUUUAUUCUUCAUUUGGUAUCCCUAUCAAUUGAUGUUCGACAUGUAAUACUGAAAACAACAGAAACCAUUCACAAAUUCUCUUCUCAAAUCUAGAAUUGGAUUUUGUUUCUCACAACCUGAUUUUGUACGGAGCAUUUCCUUUGUUCUCAUUCUUUUACAUUUUCAAUAAACUAAAACCCUUAAUUUAAAGAGCAUCUCUUCAAUUAUCCUGCUUUAAUCAAGUGGGAAUUAGGUAAUUUGUGCUCAUUUGAAGCUGUCUGAGUAAUAGAGAGUAAUUCUAUUACUAGAAAGUGUUGAGAUGCGAAAGAACAUGAUUAAGAUAGUGAUGUUGGAGACUGCAUGUGAUAGGCAGAACACAUUCUCUAAACGACAAAAGGAGUCUUGAACAAUGUUAACUGUCGAUUCUAUGCGACAUAGAUAUUGUUCUUCUCAUGUUUACUCCUGGUGGAAAGCUGACCAUCUUUGUUGCAGAACAUUGGUAGUUUCUUCUUCCCAAAUCCUUUUUCGAAUGCUUAGAGUGGUAGCUGUGGUCUUGACUAGUUAUAGGGGAACAAAUUUCAGUGUUGUAGUUUUAGAUCUUUGGUUUCUACCAAUCAUCUAUCCAGACUUCACUAGUUUUCGAGGUUUCCUUUCAUUUUGAUUAUUUUGAUUUUUCACAACCUAUAUAUUUGUAUGUGUAAUAAGCACUCAUAUACUAGAAAUUUGCAGUGUUCGACACCCAUGUCAGUCACACGUUGACACUCCAUUUUCUUCUUACAUCUAGCAGUAUUUAUAUGCUUUUUGUUUAGGUCAUGGUUUAGCUAUUAGAAUCCAUUUUCUUGUUUCUUAUGAAUAUGGUUUUGGAAUCAAGAGGGAAUAUAUAUUAAUAAAAACAUACUCUAAUUGACACCCAUUAUUAACUACCAUGGCAGAGAAGUUUCUUAACUUUUUUGUAAAAAGUGUAAUGAGGAAAUAUCAUGCUCUCCUCCACAAAAAAGACAAUAUACACAUGUACAUGGUGAUAAUGGUGGGUGUCUAUCAGCUUGUGUUUUUAUUGGAAUAUAUGUUCUUGGUUCCAAACUGACCCUAAAUGAAGUAAUAUCUAAUAAAACAACUUUCAAUGUCAUUAUAUACCUGUACAGACAUGUCGGCAUGGUGGGUUUUCGAGGACCUUGUGUCCAUUUUCUUCUUUCCUCGCCUGAGAAAACACUGCCGUACAUGUCUGAAACAGGUAGACGCAUCUGUGCUCAUGUUGCAUUGUUGCAACAUUCUUGAUUGGUUAUCUUGUCUGCCCCUCUUUAAAUCCUGGAUUGUUUAAAAUGUGUAAGAUCUGUUCUAAUGGAAUGCUUUACUCUUUUAGGUUUGUCUUCUUUCAGUGAUUUGAUUAGUCCUUGAAAGAUAUUCGGGGAUAAGUCCUUGAGAAUGAAGAAAAAAGGUGAUAUGUUUAUCUGUUUGCAACAAGCAACGUGAUUACUCCUCCUUUGUUUGCCAAUGAAAUGCAUGAAUACUGAAAUCUUUUCAAUUACUUGCAACAGGAAUGACAUAAUUCUGCAAGAUCGGGAUUGUGAUUUGUUAACUGUAAGGAGUAGACGUGUGUGUGUUUUUUUUUUUUUUUGCUAUAGUCUGUUGCUUUUUAUAUUCUCUUAUGAUUCUUUGCCUAAUGCUAUGGUUGUGUAUCUCUUGACUACCAAUUUCUCCAGAAAUCAUUCAGAAGGCAGGUUCACAGGAUUGAUGUAAAAUCUUUUUCCAAUGAAAGGUACUCUUACAUUCAAUCACUAACCUAAGAGGCAUGCAUCUGCAGACACCUAAUACAUCAGUCUCAUGGAUAGUUUGAACACAUUCUAGUGAUCCAAUCACACUGACCUCCAAAUGAAUUUGUCUUCAGCUAGGAUCAGGUCUGUCAAUUCAUCAGGAGUCUAGGACACUUUCACCAAAGGGUAGACCUGAUGAAUGGAAAGGGUCUCAUACACAAAUGCCAUGCCGACACAUGUAGCUUGAAUUUUGUUGAAGAAACAACCAAGCUAUAAACUGGGCAUGCAGCUUAGGGUAGGGGAAAGGAGGAGAUGAUCAGGAGGGACCCCUGAACUAGUGUGGAUCUACAUGACAGUCCAUAGAUUUUACUCCUUGGCCAGUCAUUAUUUACAAAAUAUCAAAAGUUGAUGGUACGAGGAAUUCUAAGUGGACUUGCUCUUGUGUGGUAGAUGUAGGUUAUUUGUAGCACACAUGCCAAUUUAGGAUGUGUUAUAGACAUGGGCAUUCAUCUGGGGUUUCUAUAUCAAGCUGGGCUAGCCUUACAUCGGAGAGCGAGAGGGGAAACAUUCGUGGACCUCAGCAGAGAACAUUUCCCUGCAAACCAAAAAAUAGCAAGAAGUUUAUCACUCCUUUGUUAUAUUUAUGCCAGGAAAAAAAAAAAAAAAAAAAAGGAGGACGAGGUUCCCCUGUUUUCAGUGCAAGAAACGCACUAGUUCCCCUGGGAUAUCCCCUUCUGCAGUUCCUAAUCAUCGCAAUGUAAGGGAGCUUAAGUGAAUAUCGCAACUUUCUGAUGGCUCACUGAGAUGCUGCAUACUUGGUGGAAGUUUCAGAUACAGGUCGAAUAUCGUUCUCCAAUCCACCUAUUGAUGACCUAGCUACAAUUUUGUCCCUUCCAAGGAAGACCAUUCUAUGAACGGAUUUGGCCAAACUUCCAUCCAAUACAACAGCUUGGAUUAGAGAAGCCAGACCUGGUACCUCUCAUCCCUUCGAUCUUCAAGUAUUUGAAGGGGGAUACAAGUCGAAGUGAAGGUUUUCUCCGCAAUUGAGGAUCUGUGGUCCAUUCAUGGAUGGGGCUUACUUGACUGUAUGGUCAAAUGAGCAAGAUCACUACAAUGCUACCCUACCGUUGUGGGUGAUUCUAAAGAAGAUGGAGAAUCUGAGCUACCUGAUUUCAGCUACAUAGUCAGACUAUGAAGACCAGCAUCUGCUGGCACUUAUGUUUGUGGUUGAUUGUACAAAAAACAUGCGGAUAGUAGAAUCCUAGCUUUCCAAUUUUCUUUGUUGAAUGUGGACUAUUGGCUGAUUUUUGUCAUCGCCUGCUUGCUUGAAGGCUUUUACUUGGACGGAUAGGAUUGUCUAAUUGAUGUGAUAUUUAUACAGUUGCCUCUCACCAUAGGGCUUAUAAGAUUGACAUACCAGAUGAUCCACCCAUGAUCCAUGUGGGCCCAGUCAAGCAAUGGACCCUUAGGCAUAAGGCUGGCUCCAAAUUGAAAAUGAGUAAAUAGGCUUCUCAAAUUCUAUGUAAGGGUGGGCAAUCUCAUCUUCAAAAGGGAUUCUUCAGAUCAAGCUUGAUGUUCUUCACCACUUUCAAGUUCAUUAGUUGCUAGGCUUCACGAAUAGGGUUUUCAGAAGUGACGGUCACUUUACUAACUGUUUGUAGCUCUAUCCUUGUGUUGAGUUAGAAGGCCAAUGUAUAAUGGAUAUUUGAGUGUUGGAAGAAAGGUUGUAUUUAUUUUAGAAUGCAUGUAACAUGGAUCAGUAGCCUAACUGCUAUGCUGUUUUUACUGUGCUAUAUUGUAAGGAAUUGAUGAGCCAUUGUUUUUA